rnacentral:tRNA from 1 species
GGGCUUGUAGCUCAGCUGGUAGAGCGCUGCAUUCGCAUUGCAGAGGCCAGGGGUUCAAGUCCCCUCAAGUCCACCA